rnacentral:rRNA from 1 species
AGUGAACGCUGGCGGUAGGCCUAACACAUGCAAGUCGAACGGCAGCACAGAGGAGCUUGCUCCUUGGGUGGCGAGUGGCGGACGGGUGAGGAAUACAUCGGAAUCUACUCUGUCGUGGGGGAUAACGUAGGGAAACUUACGCUAAUACCGCAUACGACCUACGGGUGAAAGCAGGGGACCUUUGGGCCUUGCGCGAUUGAAUGAGCCGGUGUCGGAUUAGCUAGUUGGCGGGGUAAAGGCCCACCAAGGCGACGAUCCGUAGCUGGUCUGAGAGGAUGAUAAGCCACACUGGAACUGAGACACGGUCCAGACUCCUACGGGAGGCAGCAGUGGGGAAUAUUGGACAAUGGGCGCAAGCCUGAUCCAGCCAUACCGCGUGGGUGAAGAAGGCCUUCGGGUUGUAAAGCCCUUUUGUUGGGAAAGAAAUCCAGCUGGCUAAUACCCGGUUGGGAUGACGGUACCCAAAGAAUAAGCACCGGCUAACUUCGUGCCAGCAGCCGCCGUAA